rnacentral:rRNA from 1 species
CCCUUCGGGGACAAAGUGACAGGUGGUGCAUGGUUGUCGUCAGCUCGUGUCGUGAGAUGUUGGGUUAAGUCCCGCAACGAGCGCAACCCUUGAUUUUAGUUGCCAGCAUUUAGUUGGGCACUCUAAAGUGACUGCCGGUGCAAGCCGGAGGAAGGUGGGGAUGACGUCAAAUCAUCAUGCCCCUUAUGACCUGGGCUACACACGUGCUACAAUGGAUAGUACAAAGGGUCGCGAAGCCGCGAGGUGGAGCUAAUCCCAUAAAACUAUUCUCAGUUCGGAUUGUAGGCUGCAACUCGCCUACAUGAAGCCGGAAUCGCUAGUAAUCGUGGAUCAGCAUGCCACGGUGAAUACGUUCCCGGGCCUUGUACACACCGCCCGUCACACCACGAGAGUUUGUAACACCCGAAGUCGGUAGGGUAACCUUUAUGGAGCCAGCCGCCGAAGGUGGGACAGAUAAUUGGGGUGAAGUCGU